rfam:Ovis aries breed Texel chromosome 3, whole genome shotgun sequence.
UCCCUGGUGGUACAGUAGAUAAGCAUCUGCCUGGAAUGCAGGGGACACGGGUUCGAUUCCUGGCCCGGGAA